GAUGAACGCUGGCGGCGUGCCUAAUACAUGCAAGUCGAGCGAACGGACGAGAAGCUUGCUUCUCUGAUGUUAGCGGCGGACGGGUGAGUAACACGUGGAUAACCUACCUAUAAGACUGGGAUAACUUCGGGAAACCGGAGCUAAUACCGGAUAAUAUUUUGAACCGCAUGGUUCAAAAGUGAAAGACGGUCUUGCUGUCACUUAUAGAUGGAUCCGCGCUGCAUUAGCUAGUUGGUAAGGUAACGGCUUACCAAGGCAACGAUGCAUAGCCGACCUGAGAGGGUGAUCGGCCACACUGGAACUGCGACACGGUCCAGACUCCUACGGGAGGCAGCAGUAGGGAAUCUUCCGCAAUGGGCGAAAGCCUGACGGAGCAACGCCGCGUGAGUGAUGAAGGUCUUCGGAUCGUAAAACUCUGUUAUUAGGGAAGAACAUAUGUGUAAGUAACUGUGCAAAUCUUGACGGUACCUAAUCAGAAAGCCACGGCGAACUACG
rnacentral:rRNA from 1 species